GCAAUGUAGACACCGUGGGCGGUCACUCUCUCCAGGCUCUGCCUAGCUGGUGUAGUGUAGGAGAGCACAGGGCUCUGCCACAUAAUGCACAGUCCCUUUUCAUAAUGUUGCAGAUGAAGCUGGGCUUUGUGUCUGUAUUUGCAUAUUCCUAUAGCAUCUCAGAUUCUUUUGGGUCUGAGGAGACAAACCAUGUAGAAAACAUGU
rnacentral:snoRNA from 1 species